UCAGCUCCAGAAGGCCUUCCUGGGGGGAGGGGGGGGGAAGGAGAGGGCUCUUCUCAUGCCCGAGAUGCCAGAGAGCUAGGACCCCGCCCAGCCCAGACGGCGUCCCUGCUGAUGGUACCAUCUGUCUGCGCCAUGCACACACUGGGGCACCAGCUGGCGAGGGGAGCUUGUGGGAGGGCAGCCCACAGCCCUCACUGCUGCUCAUCAGUGGCCUCUACGCGGAGCUACCACACAGAACCCAGCAAUUCACACCGACCGCCUGUGCUCUGGUCACAGGGUCCUUACAUGUGAAAGAGGGAGGCAGGAGCCAGCGCUGGAGCAGGAGAUGCGACAAGGAGGAUCAAGCUUGCUCUCUAGCUGCCUGAGAGGCAGGAGCCUUGGAAGGAGAACCCCCACGGUUCACUGGCUCUACCUGAAAAACCCCCUGGAUCCUGCUUUCCAGGUCCUCAUCCGGGCUGGCCCUGCUUGCCCCAAACCUCUGCAUAGGAUGGCAGGGCUGGGCUCGACCCUCCAGCAGGCAUAUAUUGGCAAAAUAUAAAUAUUCUUGGACUCAGGCUUUGUUCUAAGUGAGGACAGUAAUUCAUCACGUGGUACAAGUAUCGACAACAAAACCAAGAAAUCGCUGGCCGGAGUCCUGGCUUGGACUAGCACUGAGGUGGGAAAGAAGAUUCACAUUUGGUUUCUGGGCCAGGGGUGGGGCAGGGGGGCGAGGAGGAGAGAACAGCUUUCUUUACAGCUCUGAUAAAAAUAAUCUGUGCUGCCACGGAAUUUUAACUUUGAGUAUAUUCUUCUACAUGUGCGGAUUAUUUCCAUAACCGUGUUACUUAAAACUCAGAUGUCAACUAACAAGCUAUGGCACAUAAUCCAUGUUGAGCAACGUCAGUAGAUUCAGAAACGGUCACUGGGCGGCCGAGGCCACAGGCGUGCACGCGGGAGAGCGAUGAGGCGGGGUCGUCUGGCCAGGUCACUGUGGCCAGUCGCCCGUCUGCCCAGGGCCUCGGUGUGGCAGACCUGUCCCCUCGGGGCACCCCAGGUGGGGCCUCCGGGCCCGAGCGGCUGCGAGGC